UUACUUCUCCACUGUGGCUGCUCGCUUGGCUUUGGUUCAGCUGAGUUAACCAAACAGCACGUUGUUCGGCCGUCCGAGGUUUCUUUCACAAGGUUAAUUAUGAAUCAAACUGAACAAACUUGUCUGGAGCUGCUCUCAACUAUGGAGGAGAAACUGCGGUUCUGUGAGUAACACAACUGAACUAUGAACAAGAAACUGCGAGCUGUAAGUCACUUUUUAUUAACAAGCGUUAACGUAGAUUUGAUUCCUUGUUGGAUUAACAUGUUUCAAUACCAAGAGUUUGUGUUGGUGUAUUGGUAUGUAAAAGUGUAGUUUGAAUAAGGAUUCUUGUGUUAAGGUAGAGUACGUUCAAGUAAACAAUGGGUGUCAAGUGAGUGUAAGACGAAGUUGCUUCGUGGCUACUUAUUUCUAGAUUCCUUGUAUCCACUUCGCUGCUACUUCUCUGAACUCUGCAUUUGUCACAUUAGUUGUCUGAGUGGGCAGAGAGUGCAUGCUUGGAUACAGUGCUGUCCCAAGGCUGCCGUUCUGGAGCUGUUCUCCUCACGAGAAGCUAAGUGCUUAAGAGUGUCAUAAUAUCAGGUGCAUGAACUGAAAUGUCCUCCAAAAUGGGCACAGGGAGCCCACUGAGGAACUCUGAGGGCAAGAGGGGGCUUCAUCUCUUGGCAACUGAUACACAGCCUAAGUCUUGCACCAGAGAAAUGUGGAGGACAUCUCAACGUUCCUCUCUACACAUCUGGAGGCCUUGGCGACCGUUUCUUGAAGUUUCCAGCAGGAAGUGAGCACAACUUCAAUUCGGAAAAUGAACUAGUCCAGGUCUUGAUGGUUUGUGAUGUGCGGACUCCUCUUCCAUGGUGAACUGGCCUCGUCCUUUGCAGAUCAGCCAGAGAAAUGCUUGCACCAACACGGAAUGCGUCAGUCUGAGCCAGCCGGAGUUCAUCAGUUUUGCUGCUCAAAUGGGAUGAAGGAGAAUCCUGCACUUCAAGAACUCCACCACUGGGUUGUCCUUCUGAACGGAACACCUUCGGGAUACCCACGUCCUGUCCCUGACCUCAGGCUUAUCAAAGCUACCGCUUGCAUCUGAAGGCUCCUCAUCAGGAAACGACUCGAAGGCCAGGAAGGGACUUCAGUGACGUUGAAUCGGGUCAACCUUGAUUACCAGCUGAAGACGCCUGCACCUCGACGCAACUGAGGAAGGUUGUGCAUCAUUUGAAUCUCUGAGGCAAGGGCAUUGGAAAGGUCUAAUGGAGGCCCUGAGCUCGGCUUCUUCAUCCUGUGUUCAGCUUCCACUUGGCCAGUGUUUGUCUUGGUAUAGGGUGCUCCAUGUGACCAGUGUUUGACCUGGUAUAGGGUGCUCCAUGUGACCAGUGUUUGACCUGGUAUAGGGUGCUCCAUGUGACCAGUGUUUGACCUGGUAUAGGGUGCUCCAUGUGACCAGUGUUUGACCUGGUAUAGGGUGCUCCAUGUGACCAGUGUUUGACCUGGUAUAGGGUGCUCCAUGUGACCAGUGUUUGACCUGGUAUAGGGUGCUCCAUGUGACCAGUGUUUGACCUGGUAUAGGGUGCUCCAUGUGACCAGUGUUUGACCUGGUAUAGGGUGCUCCAUGUGACCAGUGUUUGACCUGGUAUAGGGUGCUCCAUGUGACCAGUGUUUGACCUGGUAUAGGGUGCUCCAUGUGACCAGUGUUUGACCUGGUAUAGGGUGCUCCAUGUGACCAGUGUUUGACCUGGUAUAGGGUGCUCCAUGUGACCAGUGUUUGACCUGGUAUAGGGUGCUCCAUGUGACCAGUGUUUGACCUGGUAUAGGGUGCUACAUAGCUCUGCUUGGUUUGGGUCCUAAAUGUGACCCUGGCAAAGGUGGGGCUGUGCUUUUUAACGCGACAUAGGUGUAAUUUACAUGAGAUGCACGUGAAAUUUGCUUUUGAGGAGGGUUGACGUGGUUAGUUUCUUCAACUUUUUUUUUUCCCCUAAAAGUUUGACUUGAUUGGUAUGUCGUGGUUUUGAUGCAGGUCUAUUAUUUUGACGGAUGGUUCUGGAUUGUUUAAGAACUUGCACAAAAAAGGGAAUGGAGGUCAUGUCUACUGAAGCAAUCCAGAAGACCUCAUGAGCUGGACCAAUCCAACAGCUGGCUUUUAUUCCAGCUCAACACACUCCAGGAAGAUUGGAUUUCAGUAAACCCCUUUGACUUGACCUGGGAGAUGGGUCCCCAUGAAUCAAAUUAUCUCAACCCGGUUAUUUUUAAACUACUCCUUCAGCUGAGGAAGUAGAGAAACCCUCACUGGUGUUUUCAGAUUCAUGGAGGGGAAUAUUGCUACGUGUUGCAUGGUUCUCUGGGGGAAAACUCGGGUUGUAGUUUAGUUGCCAAGAGAGGUAAACCAGAUCUUUCUCAAGGUGUUUCUCAUUGGGGUCCCAGUCUCUGUCUCGAAGGACAUGCCAGUUCAUGUAACUGAGGCUACAACGGCCUCAUGAACACUUAAUCUCCUGAGGGGGCACGUCUACAGAUCUGCAGAUUUCAGACGGCACCGUAUCCCAGCAUGCAUCUCUACUCAUACCGACCACACAUCCAUCAGCAAGACACUCAUGUGAUGAAUAGUUCAGGAAAGUGGACAAAAUGGAUAAGACAUUCAGAUUAGGCAUGUCAAGGCUGUGUUUCUGGGUGUAAACUAUUUCCUUUUAAGCCCACAUAGACUUCCCUCACUCCUUUCUCUUAGCCUAUGUAUAUGUUAAAUAUAUCUGUUUACUGCUUAGGCAUUGAAAUGUGUGACUGUAAUAAAAACCAACAGCAGCAAAGUACUAGAUCAACUCAAGGUAAGUCUGUUGGAUGUGUUCACAAUGAGAAGCUACAAGGACUACAGGAUCUUCCAUUCAGCUCAAGGUGAGGUGCUGGUUAUUUUCCUUAUUGCUGGUUUGGUUACUACUGCGAUGUAAGGAUUCCUGCUUAGGAUGGUAGUUAGAAGAUGGAUCGAGUUUGUUCGGUGUAUGCUUGUCUUCAGGCCCAAACGGUCCCUCGAUGUGGUCCGAUGGCUGGAGUUUGCAUUGAUUUGGGUGUUAGCUGGAUGGUGAUUCAUCUGAGGUCACACAAGAUCGGCCUUUGCAGAACCUUGUGGCAUUAACUACAUUGCAGGGGUAUUUUUCUAACGUUCACUAGCUAAAGUACUCGUGUAGCCAUCAGUCAUAAGCUGACCUAAAUACUGUGCCUCCUCAGGGAGACGUUCUCUAAAAAAAAAUUAGCAAAUUAAUUUGCAUUGUCCUGCAAUUGUGGACACUAGAGCGGUACUUUGAGCUAGCUGACCAACUCCAGCUGCCUUCUACUUGCGUAAAUAUUUCGGUUGAAGGCUGCAAAAUAUUUUCGAGCGGCAACAAUUUGGCAUUUCUGUCCUGGAGAGCUUUUUGGUGGUUAGAGUUACCACAACCCAGCACCUGGACAUGGCUUGAGUAUAAUUUUACUACUCUACUGUUACUCCUGCUUGUCCUCUUUGGUACAUCUUCACCUUAUGUCAAUUCUAAAUAUCAGGGCAGUCAGAAGUUUGUUCUUAACAAAUUUAACAUAGAACUUGGAUAGGUUUACCUAUCUAAAUAUAGAGCUGUACUGUCAUGUCGUUUGUCUCACAAGAUGUCUGCUACCAGUGACUUAAGAGGCUUGCUAAAGGUAAACGCAGGACGGGAGGCUUAUAUUUAUUUUAUAGGAAAACGUUUAAAUUACCCCAUCAACUCCCGUCUCUGCUCUACUGUGAUGGGUGGAUGUGUGUUGGAACCAUGAAGUCUUAUUUGAAUGGAUGGAGGUUUCAUGUUUGCAGUAGGUGCAGACUCCCGUGCUUGCUGUCUUGAUCCUGUCCAAUACCCAAGAUGUCAGGGAGAACCAGAGGCUGAUGCUGGACCUGAGGGUACACUUUUCCUGCCACUACUAGUGGAGGUGAGCUAACGGAGGAGCCGCGCUGAAGGAGGAGCCUGGAGAAGGUCCCUCCGGACCCUGGAAUGAGUAUCCACUAAUGGAGCUGGUGACCACUAGGAUCUGAUGGGAGGACUGCGCUGGACCUGUAACAUCUUGGAGUCUUAUUUGAAUGGAUGGAGGUUUCAUGUUUGCAGUAGGUGCAGACUCCCGUGCUUGCUGUCUUGAUCCUGUCCAAUGCCCAAGAUAUCAGGGAGAACCAGAGGCUGAUGCUGGACCCGAGGGUACACUUUUCCUGCCACUACCAGUAGUUUACAUUGCAAUGGGUGGAGGUGAGCUAACGGAGGAGCCGCGCUGAAGGAGGAGCCUGGAGAAGGUCCCUCCGGACCCUGGAAUGAGUAUCCACUAAUGGAGCUGGUGACCACUAGGAUCUGAUGGGAGGACUGCGAUGGACCAGUAACAUCUUGGAGACGCUGUGGAGAUCCUGAGUUUGGUUUGGGGGAGACGUCCUUGAGCCGGGGCCUCCCUGUAUCCUGACGUCCUUCUUGCCAGUCUCCUCACAGGAUUCAUCUGAUCAUGCUGGAGGUUCUUCAGAAGGACCAACGAGUGAAGAGCCAGCUGGAGUCAUCGUUGGACUGCAGAAUCAUCUCUUCCAUGCACACACACCUGUCUGUGUGUGGAGGACACCACCCCUUCCAAUCUAUUCUCUCUCCUCCACCUGUCUGUGUGUGGAGGACACCACCCCUUCCAAUCUAUUCUCUCUCCUCCACCUGUCUGUGUGUGGAGGACACCACCUCUUCCAAUCUAUUCUCUCCUCCACCUGUCUGUGUGUGGAGGACACCACCCCUUCCAAUCUAUUCUCUCUCCUCCACCUGUCUGUGUGUGGAGGACACCACCCCUUCCAAUCUAUUCUCUCUCCUCCACCUGUCUGUGUGUGGAGGACACCACCUCUUCCAAUCUAUUCUCUCUCCUCCACCUGUCUGUGUGUGGAGGACACCACCUCUUCCAAUCUUGGGGGUCAGAGUUCAAAGUUAGGGCUUAGUGUUAGGGUUUAGUCUGAGGGCUUGGAGCUGGUCAGGUAGGGCUGCUUUCACCACUAACUUCUUCACUUGCUUUAAAAAUUGUUUGGACGGCCGUCCCAAAAUGUGCAAUUCAUAAUUUUUUUUUUUAACAAAUUGUACGAAAUGAAAUGUGAUUGCUUUUUAAAAUGCAUAUGUGUUUUUAAAAUAAAAACAGCCUUCCUGACAUGA